rnacentral:rRNA from 1 species
UACGUAGGGUGCGAGCGUUAAUCGGAAUUACUGGGCGUAAAGAGCUCGUAGGCGGUUUGUUGCGUCGGCUGUGAAAUCCCGAGGCUCAACCUCGGGUCUGCAGUCGAUACGAGCAAACUAGAGUGUUGCAGGGGAGACUGGAAUUCCUGGUGUAGCGGUGAAAUGCGCAGAUAUCAGGAAGAACACCCGUGGCGAAGGCGGCUCUCUGGAACGCAACUGACGCUGAGACGCGAAAGCGUGGGGAGCAAACAGG